rnacentral:rRNA from 1 species
AUGCACUCCUUCGGUGAAGCCACAGGGCUUAAGCUAAACCAGGCGAAAUCUUCAGUGAUCCCGAUGAACUGCGAUGAGCUGCUGCUGCCUGAAAUUUUGCAGGGUUUUGGGGGAUCGAUUGCAAGCUUCCCCACAACCUACCUGGGGUUGCCCCUCUCCCCCAAGAGGCUGCGAUUAGUGCACUUCCAGUUCCUAAUCGACCGCAUCAAGUCGUGUCUCGCGGGAUGGAAGGGCAAGUUUAUGUCGCUAGCAGGUCGACGCGUCCUGGUGCGGGCGAUGCUCUCUGCGUUGCCUACUUUCGCCAUGACUGUGCUCAAGGUGCCCAAGAAGAUACUCAAGGAGAUUGACAAGGCGCGCCAUCGGUUUCUAUGGGCGCAAGACGAGGCUCUGACGUGA